rnacentral:rRNA from 1 species
GACGAACGCUGGCGGCGUGCUUAACACAUGCAAGUCGAACGGAAAGGCCCUGCUCUUGUGGGGUGCUCGAGUGGCGAACGGGUGAGUAACACGUGAGUAACCUGCCCUUGACUUUGGGAUAACUUCAGGAAACUGGGGCUAAUACCGGAUAGGAUCUCCUGCUGCAUGGUGGGGGUUGGAAAGUUUCGGCGGUUGGGGAUGGACUCGCGGCUUAUCAGCUUGUUGGUGGGGUAGUGGCUUACCAAGGCUUUGACGGGUAGCCGGCCUGAGAGGGCGACCGGCCACAUUGGGACUGAGAUACGGCCCAGACGGCUACGGGAGGCAGCAGUGGGGAAUAUUGCACAAUGGGCGGAAGCCUGAUGCAGCAACGCCGCGUGCGGGAUGACGGCCUUCGGGUUGUAAACCGCUUUCGCCUGUGACGAAGCGUGAGUGACGGUAAUGGGUAAAGAAGCACCGGCUAACUACGUG